GGGGGGGGGUCCUUUUUAAGUUACGGAGGAGCAGAGGACCCUGGCAUUGCUCACCAAGGCAGCUUCUAUUUCUUUUGAAGGUCAAAUGUGAGGGUGCUCAGCCUCAGCGACAUCCUGAAUGCUUUCUGAGCUAAUCAAGGCCCCUAGUCUGGUGCAAAGGAAACCCCAUCUCUAGAGUGGGGUGAGGGAAGCCGAAUGCUGGAUGCUCAGUCCGGGGCUGCUGCUCCUGCAGGCUGCGACCAGCUGGGCAUUUCACCGGUUUUUGUUUUCUGGCACAUCCCAGAGGUCAGCCCUUUACCAGGAAGACGGCACCCCUUUACCGAAAGCAUCCUGACCAUCAGUCUACUGCUUGGCUAACCCUUCAGCAUCCUGACCAUCAGUCUACUGCUUGGCUAACCCUUCAGCAUCCUGACCAUCAGUCUACUGCUUGGCUAACCCUUCAGCAUCCUGACCAUCAGUCUACUGCUUGGCUAACCCUUCAGCAUCCUGACCAUCAGUCUACUGCUUGGCUAACCCUUCAGCAUCCUGACCAUCAGUCUACUGCUUGGCUAACCCUUCGAAAAAUGAUAGCUAGAGGUAGCAAGCAAAACAACAAACAAAACAAAACAAACAAACAAAACCCCAAACAAAAACAAAACUAAGAAUAUCACAAAACAGAUGUAGGCUGGUAGGGAGGCAAGAACUUGGGGUCCUUUUGUGUCCCCAAGAAAAACACUGAUUUCCUCAUUGGUAACAUGACAGGCUGGCCUAAAAUCCCUGAGUUUCCGUUUUUAAUUCUUUGAUCCUAUGAACAAGACAGUGUGGCCACAUUUCCUCUGUUAGUCACUAUGCGGCCCCGUGGUGAGACUAUAGAAAGACAAGCAGAAAGAAACCUUUAUCCUGUGGACCAGUCCACUGCUGUGAGAAGCAGGAGCCACACGGAGGUGACAAUGAGGAGGGCCUCCUGAAGACAGCUGCUGAAUGGGGUAGCUUUCGGUUUGCGACCUGGUACCAACAAUCCAGUUUAGCCAGGCACUUUUCAAGUUUGGGGGUCUCCCGCCCUAACAGACCAGCCCACCAUCCUUAGAUGAGCAGUUGAAGCAGUAAAUUGCCUUGGCAUGUUAUACCCCCAACUAAAAGAGCUGAUUUGUAAAGACUCUGCAACUAUUUCUGAUUGCUUAAACAGCACAUAUAUGUCAUAAUAAAACUGCAAAGAGCGCCUGGAGAAAGGCAAGCCACCCAAGCCCAGGCACUCUGAAGUAACCACCAGUUGGCAUUUUGGAGACUAUGUUUCCAUCCCCAACCCGCAGGCUUUACAUUAGCAGAUGAUGCUCUGCACAGUCCUCGCAGCCUGUUUAACUCAACUCAGCCUCAUUGACAACUUUCUAAGUCUGUGCACACAGAUCUCCAUGGUCACUUCUAGUGCCAGCCUCAAAUUUUAUUGUAUAAGUGGACCACAGUCUGUUCAAUACCCUAAUUUUAUGGCAUCCAUACUGUUCAUAUAUCCAUGUCUCCAGCAUCCAGUGUCCUCAGCUAUCAACUUUGUUUUACACUGUUAUAAUCAGAAGUACUGUGUCCAAAGGUUAUUCUUGUGUACAAUAUUAAAAUGGGACAAUCUUCUAAAAACUAGUAUAUAAAUAUUAUAUAUACAUAUAUAUCACAUAUUGAUAUAGGGAAAGAUCUAUAUAUACCCACAUACAUACAGUCCGAUAGAGAUAGAGGGGUAGAGAGAGACAGACAGACAGAUAGACAGACAGACAGACAGCAGGAGAUAGAACUUUACUUUCUUGACCAAGCCUAAAGAUGAGCAGGGAAAAAAUAAGAAUUUCAGAGGGCAUUGCUUAAAUAGAAACAAAGCGAAACCUCAGAAAGAGAUGCAAGGCAGAAAAGGAUGGAUGUUAUGUUCACAAGGGAGGGCUCUGGAGUACAAGCUGUCUAACCUUUGGCAGAUUAAUUAAUGGAAUGAUUUUUUCUUUUUGAAAUCAAGUGCAACCCCACUGUUAGGACAUUUAAUGCACAGAACCUGACCAUGGCCAGGUGUUCAAUGACCAUGUUUUUUUUUAAAAAAAUCCAGAGUGAUAGAGAUGCCAGAGAGGCAUCUGAUUCACUGGCUUUUAUAGUAAGUCAGCCUUUAUAAAAAGUGAAACUAGGCAGAGCGUUCCUUCAUGUUUUAUUAUUUUACAGAUCUAUCAAUUCGUUAUAUUAAUAAACCUCAGACGUGGUCUCUCAGAGACAAAGAACUAGAGAAAUUUUGGAGGACCCACAGCCUCGUCUCCCAGGCCACCUCAGCAUGGCCCUGGGAGCUAGCAUCUUCAGGAAAUUCUCAAUUACUUAAUUUUCCUCCAACUGUCCUCAUUUUUCACAGCACCAGCUCACUUUACAUGAUUUUUCUGUUUUACACGAUAUUACAUAUCACAGACAUCUCUUGUCCUGAACUGUGGUGAGAUUACUUCAGGAGCAACCAUCUCCUGCCUCAUCUCCAUGGAAAGGAGCGCCAUAUACUCCAGUUUUCACAUCUGUGUGAGCACUCAAGCUAUCUUGCCUCAGUUCACCCUGGAGAUCACUCACCGACAACACACUCUGGGAGACUCUAAUGUCCAAGCCCUGCCUCCUCUGCUUGGAGCCUUCUCUAGAGCAAUGCUUUUAAACUGAUCUUAGUUCUUUUUUUCCCCAGGACAUUGACUGAAAGUCCCCCUAUGCUGGAAGAUACCAGAGAGCUUACACUCUCAACAGGCUGUCUGGCCACAGGAAAAUGACUUUCCAUUCCUUAGAGCGUUUCAUCUAGUACCCUGGAGCUUAGAGUCGCUCAAAUCUUAGCUACUCCUAAUUGACAAAAAGGACUAAAAAUGCAAGCAAUUUCAACUUCAUUGUGAGUUUUUGGAAAUAACGUCAAUAAGUUUGGGUGAUCCAUUUGAAACUUGCUUGUAUGCUUAUGCUCAGAUAGAUUAAAAAGUGUGGCUUGGAGCAAACUAGA